rnacentral:rRNA from 1 species
AAUAGACGAAAAGUCUGACGGAGCAACGCCGCGUGAGUGAAGAAGGUUUUCGGAUCGUAAAACUCUGUUUUCAGGGACGAAUGUGCAAUAUGUAAAUAAUGUAUUGUAAUGACGGUACCUGACAAGAAAGCCACGGCUAACUACGUGCCAGCAGCCGCGGUAAUACGUAGGUGGCAAGCGUUGUCCGGAAUUAUUGGGCGUAAAGCGCGCGCAGGUGGGAUAAUAAGUCUGAUGUUAAAGUUCGGGGCUCAACCCCGUGAAGCAUUUGGAUACUGUUAUUCUUGAGUGCAGGAGAGGAAAGUGGAAUUCCUAGUGUAGCGGUGAAAUGCGUAGAUAUUAGGAGGAACACCAGUGGCGAAGGCGACUUUCUGGACUGUGUCUGACACUGAGGCGCGAAAGCCAGGGUAGUGAACGGGAUUAGAUACCCCGGUAAUCCUGGCCGUAAACGAUGGGUACUAGGUGUUGGGGGUAUCGACCCCUCCAGUGCCGGAGUUAACGCAAUAAGUACCCCGCCUGGGGAGUACG